UGAGUCUUAAAUCAUAAGAAAAAAAAUCUAGAAUCUGAUUAAGUUGUGGAAAUGACCUUAAAUGAACCAUUGGAGUCUUGUAUAAAAAAAAUGUCUUGCAUAGAAAUGUGGCUGGGUGAUGUGGGACAAACUGUUUUACCCUAUAUUGCAGGUCUGGUCAAACCUAAUCUAAGUACAACCUAAAAUAAUUAAACUAUAAGUAACCCCUUUUACCAAAAUGUUCGUUACGAAAACUUUAAUUUCAAGAUAAUGACAAAACUUAACUACCAAGAGAGACAAAAAAUUAUCUGAAUAUCUAUAAAACAAGGGACAGAGUGUAUUCAUUUUCAAGGUCUGAAUACUUUUACGGAAAUGAUACCUUAACCAUUCUAAAGACAAAUGUUUGGAACUUAUUCAUUUGAAAAGAUGUCUUUGACAAUUUGUAUAACAAAUACAACACCGUCCCACUCUUUAUAAAAAUAAGAAGAUAUGGAAUGAUUGCCAAUGAGACGAAAUGAUGCAGAUGGUUAGAAGCUAUAAAUCUUUUCAUAUGGCCUUCAACAAUGAGCAAAACCCAUACUGCAUAACACGCUAUAAAGUUUCAACAAAUGAGAAAUGUAAAACAAUUAAAACAAGAAAACUACUG
rnacentral:lncRNA from 1 species